rnacentral:rRNA from 1 species
AGAGUUUGAUCAUGGCUCAGGACGAACGCUGGCGGCGUGCCUAACACAUGCAAGUCGAGCGGAGACCAACCAGUGGCAACACUGGGGAAGUCUGAGCGGCGAAACGGGUGAGUAACACGUGAGGAACCUGCCCCGAAGACCGGGAUAACCCUCCGAAAGGAGAGCUAAUACCGGAUACCCCCACCGAGUCGCAUGGUUUGGUGAGGAAAUGGAUUCCGCUUCGGGAGGGCCUCGCGGCCUAUCAGCUUGUUGGUGAGGUAACGGCUCACCAAGGCGUCGACGGGUAGCUAGUCUGAGAGGACGAAUAGCCACACUGGGACUGAGACACGGCCCAGACUCCUACGGGAGGCAGCAGUGGGGAAUCUUGCGCAAUGGGCGAAAGCCUGACGCAGCAACGCCGCGUGGGGGAUGAAGGCUUUCGGGUUGUAAACCCCUUUCAGCAGGGACGAUAAUGACGGUACCUGCAGAAGAAGGACCGGCCAACUACGUGCCAGCAGCCGCGGUAAUACGUAGGGUCCAAGCGUUGUCCGGAUUUAUUGGGCGUAAAGAGCUCGUAGGCGGCUUCGUAAGUCGGGUGUGAAAACCCCAGGCUCAACCUGGGGACGCCACUCGAUACUGCGGUGGCUUGAGUCUGGUAGGGGAUCUCGGAAUUCCUGGUGUAGCGGUGAAAUGCGCAGAUAUCAGGAGGAACACCAGUGGCGAAGGCGGAGAUCUGGGCCAGUACUGACGCUGAGGAGCGAAAGCGUGGGGAGCGAACAGGAUUAGAUACCCUGGUAGUCCACGCCGUAAAACGUUGGGCACUAGGUGUGGGGACCCUAUCGACCGGUUUCCGUGCCCGCAGGCUAACGCAUUAAGUGCCCCGCCUGGA